rnacentral:rRNA from 1 species
CUACGGGUUGCUGCAGUAGGGAAUUUUCGGCAAUGGGCGAAAGCCUGACCGAGCAAUGCCGCGUGAACGAUGAAGGUCUUCGGAUCGUAAAGUUCUGUUGUUAAGGAAGAACAGGUAUAAUAGGAAAUGAUUAUGCCCUGACGGUACUUAACCAGAAAGCUCCGGCUAACUACGUGCCAGCAGCCGCGGGUAAUACGUAGGGAGCGAGCGUUAUCCGGAAUUAUUGGGCGUAAAGCGUGCGUAGGCGGUUUACUAAGUCAAAUCUGAAAGCCCACAGCUUAACUGUGGAGGGUGAUUUGAAACUGGUAGACUUGAGUACGGCAGAGGUUAGUGGAAUUCAAUGUGUAGCGGUGGAAUGCGUAGAUAUAUUGAGGAACACCAGUGGCGAAGGCGGCUAACUGGACCGGAACUGACGCUGAGGCACGAAAGCGUGGGGAGCAAACAGGAUUAGAUACCCCUGUAGUC